AACAGGAUUAGAUACCCUGGUAGUCACGCCGUAAACGAUGUCGACUUGGAGGUUGUUCCCUCGAGGAGUGGCUUCCGGAGCUAACGCGUUAAGUCGACCGCCUGGGGAGUACGGCCGCAAGGUUAAAACUCAAAUGAAUUGACGGGGGCCCGCACAAGCGGUGGAGCAUGUGGUUUAAUUCGAUGCAACGCGAAGAACCUUACCUACUCUUGACAUCCACGGAAUUCGGCAGAGAUGCCUUAGUGCCUUCGGGAACCGUGAGACAGGUGCUGCAUGGCUGUCGUCGGCUCGUGUCGUGAGAUGUUGGGUUAAGUCCCGCAACGAGCGCAACCCUUAUCCUUUGUUGCCAGCGAUUCGGUCGGGAACUCAAAGGAGACUGCCGGUGAUAAACCGGAGGAAGGUGGGGAUGACGUCAAGUCAUCAUGGCCCUUACGAGUAGGGCUACACACGUGCUACAAUGGCGCAUACAAAGAGAAGCGACCUCGCGAGAGCAAGCGGACCUCAUAAAGUGCGUCGUAGUCCGGAUCGGAGUCUGCAACUCGACUCCGUGAAGUCGGAAUCGCUAGUAAUCGUGGAUCAGAAUGCCACGGUGAAUACGUUCCCGGGCCUUGUACACACCGCCCGUCACACCAUGGGAGUGGGUUGCAAAAGAAGUAGGUAGCUUAACCUUCGGGAGGGCGCUUACCACUUUGUGAUUCAUGACUGGGGUGAAGUCGUAACAAGGU
rnacentral:rRNA from 1 species